rnacentral:lncRNA from 1 species
AUACAUUAACAAAAUAUUUAGUUCCAUAUUAUGAUAUAUUAAAUAGGAGCUAAGCUGGAAUACUAUUUAUAGCAAAAGAUGUUUUGUGCUAUCAGGUUUUUAAUUCUUGGAUGAAAAUUGUAGGGUUAGGAUGUUAUUAGUCCCUUAGAAUUGAGUGGUUCUUCUAGGGUUGAGUGGUCCCCACCGGGUUAUAAUAUUUAAUCCAAUGGUUAGAAAUAAUGAAAGAAAUUGAUCUAAAAGUUAAAAACUUGAUAGCAAAAAAUGCCUUUUACUAUUAAUAGUAUUCUAGCUCAACUCUAUUAAAUAGUAUUAUUAUAUAUAGAGAGAGUAAAUAUAUGUUACAUAUUAUUAUAUAUAG